UCUAACUCUUUGGGCAGGUGGAGACAUACCUGUGUAUUUCUGUAUUUUCUUCAGCUCUGCAAAAGAUAACAGCUCCAGUAAGAAUCCUUCCCAGACAAACAGAUCUGACAUUUCACUCACCCUAAAGAUAACAGUUCCAUAAGAAUCCUUCCCAGACUAACAGAUCUGACAUUUCACUCACCCUAAAGAUAACAGCUCCAUAAGAAUCCUUCCCAGACUAACAGAUCUGACAUUUCACUCACCCUAAAGAUAACAGCUCCAUAAGAAUCCUUCCCAGACUAACAGAUCUGACAUUUCACUCACCCUAAAGAUAACAGCUCCAUAAGAAUCCUUCCCAGACUAACAGAUGUGACAUUUCACUCACCCUAAAGAUAUGCAGUAGAAUAAUA